CGGGGCUGCGGCCGUAACGGCCGCAACGGCGGCGGUUUAGGGCCCGGUGCCGCGGCGGCGUCCUCGGGAGCAGUGUCUCGUCCGCCGCCGGCAGGAGGGCGGCUGGCCUGCCGCGGUGCUUCAGGUAUGUUUUACACAGAUGCCUCAGGAACCGCAGCGCCCAGUAGCCCCACGGCGGGGGGCAGAGCGGGAGGCAGGAGCACCCCAACGACAAAAUAACCCAGGAAAUGGGUGGCAGAGGCUCAUUGAAGGCCCAAUUAAAUGUGUCUUUGUGUAGCGAUAACUGAAACAAUGAAAAAAUACCACCCAGGAACUAGACCACAUGCAAAUGUGAACCACAGCUUGGCCAGACGGUUUCAAAACCGAACUGAGAUGGUCAGAUGGUUUGCUGUACUUUGCAGAAUGAAACAUAUGUUCCUGACAACUACUUAA
rnacentral:lncRNA from 1 species